UGCCUUUAUAAAAUCAAUCACUUUCAAGUCUUCGUCAUUCUGUGCAGUGUAUGAUAAUCCUGCGCAAAUUUGCACCAAAGAAUAUCGUCCGGUCUGUGCAACCAAUGGCCAAACUUAUUGCAACAAAUGUGUUUUCUGCCUUGCCAAAAAGUAAGACCAUAGUAGUAAAUAUAUGCUUUCUAAGGAAUAAAAAACUAAUUAUAAAAUCUUA